rnacentral:rRNA from 1 species
UACGAAGGGGGCUAGCGUUGUUCGGAAUUACUGGGCGUAAAGCGCGCGUAGGCGGUUUUGCAAGCAAGAGGUGAAAUGCCAGAGCUCAACAUUGGAAUUGCCUUUGGGACUGUGAGACUUCGAGGACUGGAGAGGUGGGUGGAAUUCCCAGUGUAGAGGUGAAAUUCGUAGAUAUUGGGAAGAACACCGGUGGCGAAGGCGGCUCCCUGGCCAGUUUCUGACGCUGUAGCGCGAAAGCGUGGGGAUCAAACAGG